rnacentral:misc_RNA from 1 species
GAUGAAGAACGCAGCGAAAUGCGAUAAGUAAUGUGAAUUGCAGAAUUCAGUGAAUCAUCGAAUCUUUGAACGCAUCUUGCGCUCCUUGGUAUUCCGAGGAGCAUGCCUGUUUGAGUGUCAUUUAACUUCUCAACCACAUUGGAUAUUUUUUUUCCGAUGCCGGCUUGGAUGUGGGGGUUGUUUGCAGGCUUUUUGUAACAAAAAAGGUCGGCUCCCCUGAAAUGUAUUAGUGGUAUCUGAGGCUAUUACUAUUAGGUGUGAUAAUUAUCUAUGCCUUUUGGGUAUGCCGCAUGAACAGAUUAUGCUGCUUCUAACGAAAACUAUUUUGAUGAAUUUGACCUCAAAUCAGGUAGGACUACCCGCUGAACUUAAGAAUAUCAAUAAGCGGAGGA